ensembl:lncRNA
CUGGAGUCAUUUUGGACCAGUGUCAAGUAAUUACGGACAAUUAUUGGGUCAUUAUUUUUAAUUAAAUUUUUUAAGUCUUUGUUACCUGAGACAAGUUUUAAGACAUUGUGAUUCAUUUCAGACACAUUUUGAGUCAUUUUGGACAGUUUUAAAACCAUUUCAUACAGUAUUUGUUAUGUUGCAUCUUUUUUUGCAUCCUUCUGGACAGGUUUAGUCAUUUAGGAACAUACUUGACAUUUUGAAAAUGUUACAAUUCCAAGUCAUUGUUCUUUUUCUUUUUUUUUGUUUAGUUUUUUUUUUAGGUUUUUAUAUUCAAGAGGGGGAUAGAGAAAGUGGGAAGGAUAGAAAGGAAAGAUAGAGAGGGGUGAAAAGAUAGAGAGGGGUGAGAAGAUAGAGGGGUGAGAAGAUAGAGAGGGGGGUGAGAAGAUAGGGAGGAGUGAAAAGAUAGAGAGGGGUGAGGGCAGAAGCAGGAGUGAGAGCAGUGGGGAAAAAAGGGUGAGGAGAAGGGGGAGAAAGGAGGAGACAUUAUGGUGGCUGUCAGCUUAUAACCAGCUGCCUCAUUUCUUCUUGUGCCACCAGCUCCAGCCACCUUUCUUCCUUUCAGUCUUGUCAUCUUUGUCUUUGUGUUCUUUGUUCUUUGUCUUGUCUUUUUGCUCUGCUCUCUGCUCUCCGUCUUUGCUUGGGUUCUGCUCAACGGUUGGUCCAGGCUUCUUGGUCCUUCUCAGGAAGCUGAAGCAUCCCAUCUUCCUUUUCAUCAAGGACUCCUGCAUGGCUUCAUUUUCCUUCUGCAGCUCGUUUUGUUUGUGCAGGAGGUGGACCUUUUCUUGCUGCAGCGUGAUCUUCUGCUGCUCUAGGUCCAGUCUCUCUGCAGCCUCUUUGCUAUGUUCCUCCUGAAAUGCUCAGAGGAGCGCAGAGAGACCAGCCACCGAAGCCUGCAGUCGAUGGAUUUCUUCUUGCUGCAGCUGGCUAGACUUGGUGUUGUUGUUGUUCUUUUCAGCUUCUAGUGCAGCUUCAACC